CAACUAAUGACAUGUUAUGGCAAAAUAUCCAAGGCCAUGCACUAGCCAGUAGCCAGAAUAUUCUGCAUUGACUUAAAUAACAAAGCAUAUAAAAUUAUAAUAUAUGUUAAUGCACAUUUUAAUUAUUAGUAUGUCCAACAUGAAAAGAAUAAUAUUAUUAUGUAUAAUCAUUUUGGUAUUAAUUACUCUAUCAAAUAAUUACGUAUUCAUAAUUUUUUUUCAGAAAAGCUAAUUGUUAAUAAUCAGUUCUUUGAAAAAUUUUAAAAAUUAAUUAAUUAUCUCAUGAUUAAAGAACAGAAAUGGCACGUUCAUAUCCGAAAAACAAAAUACAAUCAGGAUAUAAGAAAACACAUACAGUGGCUGAACUCAGUGACUUACUGAUGUUUUUUGAAAAACUUUUCAAUACUACAGUGCCAUAAUAAUAAUUAUUUAUGUUAAACUAUAAAAUGGAUAAUAUYCAUGUAUUUGGGAUAAGACUCCUAGAGGGAAACAUACUGCCUACACAGUGGUAAUAAGAAGAACACUGAAUAGUUAAGCAAAGACCAUAAUCUUUUAAGAUGUUUUAGAAGUAUUUAUCAAGCCAAUGCCGAUUACCUAAGACGUUAGUUGGUCCUCCUCUACCACCUCCCUCCUAUAUAUUAUWUGUACAACUUUUUUUUAUUGUUAACUUUAUUUUAUUAGCAUAAAUCUGUUUUUGG